rnacentral:RNase_P_RNA from 1 species
GCAGGGCAGUGCUUAACGUUGGGCGUAUGCUCAGGAAAGUCCACCCACCGAACCGCAAGGGGAAAGCGUCACUCGAAAGAGCUCCUGUAAGGGAGGGCAACCACGCAGAAACGAUACCACCUUGACAAGGGAAUGAUAAUGGCGAAGUCUCUGGCGACAGGGAUGAGUUACCCUUUGACGUCUGUCAAGGAAUGGAUGAAACGGUGAGUCCUGACUGGUGCAACCGAAAGGGCUUAGUUGAAUGUUAAGAAAACCCUUCCAUGAAUGGGGGUUUACCAAAGGUGGCUUAUAGCUGCCCUGC